rnacentral:lncRNA from 1 species
CUCUUGCCUGCAGCCAUGUAAGAUGUCUCUUUUGCUCUUCUUUCAUCUUCCACCAUGAUCAUGAGGUCUCCUCAGCCAUGUGAAACAAAAUGUCUGGAAGAACACGUGGAAAGAGACUGGUGCUUCAAGCAGCUAGAAAAAAGAAGUCCUCUUGUAAAUGUAACCAGUUCGUUGCCUGAUGUGCAGCAAGUGAAUACCUCAAGAAACAAGGUUGCAGCAGGGAAAGAAGUCUGAUCUUAACGCAGCUGAACAAGGAAGAGGAGGAAACUUCAAAUCUGCCUCCCAAGGAGCUUAACGAUAGGGAUUUUAAGGGGGUUAAUCAAGUAUUGUGCUGGAGUGUCGGGAUCAUUGAUUGGUUAAAGAGUUCACGGUGAAGGCAUGGGAUGGAGAGAUGAAGAAACUGCCUUCUCAUGCUGAUUCGGUUCCUCUGUGGGGUCUUCAAGCUGUCUGGAAUCAGCCAUUCCCCAGGAACUCAUGAUCUGAAAAACAUCUUAAGCAACUCUAAAACAAAAACUUGUCUAAUGUCAAAGAUCAUAUCUCUACUAACAAUGAGGAUGCAAAAGUCAGUAUCUGGUGACUUUUGGUUAACAAGCAGCUACAAAGAAGUAGGACAAAGUGCAGCCUGAUUAAUGCUUAAUUAUAUUUCUGUCCAGAACAUGGUAAAUAAUUCUUGUUAAUUUUGUGAGGAUGUAGGCUCAGCUAGAGGGAGGAAAGGAAAGAUAAAGAGAGCUCAACUGCAGGGGUAGCUGCAGGUAAAAGGACAGAAGGAUCCUGCAUGAGACCAAAGGGAAUGGCGUGAUGCAGAAACAGGAAAUGCAUGCAUGAUCCACCUGCAUGGUCAAAUGUUCCAUGAACAAUCCCACAAAGUUUCUGAGUGCCAGAAUCUUGCAGAAGCAUCGAAUACACACCAUGUCACCCCAAACUGGCAUUAAAGUAGCAAGGAGGACUUCUGAGACUAAAGUAACCAUAUUAAUAGGAGGGGGUGUGUGAAUGUGGACUUUACUCGGACAGGAUCUCUGUUUUGUUCUCCUCUACCUCCCCAUCUCCUACAACAUGUCAGGCACGUAGCAGAUGCUCAGUUAAUUUUGUCUUAUGGGAACCCAAAUGGACCAAAAGCUAGACAGAAAGACAGACCUGGCAGUAUAUUCUUUCAUGAAAAGGGUCUUGAGGACCAGUAACUCCCAUCAUUUUCCACCUACCUUUGCUUGGUUUAACGUUUUAAUAUUCCACACUCAUGAAGGAAUUCAGGUAUACACCAGGAAAAUCGGAGGAAAGUUUGAUGGAGAUUACGUUUCUGCCCCCUAAUGGAAUGGGAGCUCAUACGAGAAAGCAAUGCUCAUUUAUUACUAAACGUUUGUUUAUUGAGCCCCUAUUAUGUGCCAGACACUGUUCUAAGCACUGGGUAUAUGUCAGCAAACCAACACAAAGUUAUAGAAACAUAAAGUUUUGUUUCUUGAACAUAACUAAUGUUUUUAAACCUCAUGGUAGGUUAAGUACUAUUAAAUAUUAUAUGAGUAAUAACCCAAGAGGACCCUCAAAGUAGACAUUAUAAUACAUGCUUUAUAGAUUGAGGAAGCUGAAACGCAGAAAAAUUACUUAUUAUGCCCAAGGUCACUAAAAUAGUAAAAGUAGAUUCAUGUUAUGAACCUAAGCCAGUCAGGCCCAAAUGCCAUGUUUAGAAUUAUAAUUUCUCAAACUGAGCUGUGUAUUCUCUAAAUCCUGAUGACUCGGAAGUACAACCCUAGCCAGAGCCUCUCCCUUGGACUCCACGUCCCUACAUACAAAUGCUUAUAGGAUAUCUCCAAUCGGAUGUCCCACUGACACCUCAAGCUCAGCUUAAAAAAAUUAAAACUGAAACCCACACUGAUCUUUCCAAUUUUUCCUGGGUUUCUUCCCACAGGAAAUGCCAUCCUUUCAAUCUACAUUUACCACACCAUAAAUUUGGCUUUCUUCCUUUUUGUCUUCCCUCCCCCUCCCCCACAGGCCAUCCCUCAUCUAACCGAACAGCAGGUUCUGUUGCUUCUCUUCUCCUAACAUCUGUCAAGACUUUCCCUAUCUGGUGGUAUCAUCUCUUGUUUGCAGUAUUUUAAUGGGCUUCAGGUUUGUUCCUCCAACUCAAACUUCUGCAUCAUCAUCGCCACAAUCUAGCUAAACUGAUUUUUAUGAAAUAAAAAUCUGACCAUUUCAUGCCCAUGUCAUCGUGCCUUACAAAUAAAGCCCAGCUUUUGUUGACGUACCAUAUAAAACGAAUUAUGUGGGUCCUAUCUGCUAUCUAAGUUUCACCUCUCACCCUUUCCUCUUUCAGUCUUCCCUUUUCUCUUUCAGUCCUACUAAUUGGAAUCCAUCAGAUACACAAUCUGCACAUCUGCAAAUAUUUUGUCUUAUUUUUAAAAAAGGCUUUAUCAUUCCUUCUUCAUCAGGAUAAAGACAAUUGAUUGUCAAGGUACCAGUGUAAAUGCCAUUUCAUCUGGGAAAUCUCUUUUAACUCCUCUGAAGUUAUAUCCUCUUUGUGUGCUCAUUCCUGGUUGCUACUUACCAUAUGACUCUCCACUCCUCUGUCUUCUCCUGAAGACCACAUUUCCCUUGAUGUGCUGGUGAGAGGUGACAGCGUGCUAGCAGCCCUCACUCGCGCUGGGCCCCUCUUCGGCCUUGGCGCCCACUCUGGCCGUGCUUGAGGAGCCCUUCAGGCCGCCGCUGCACUGUGGGAGCCCCUCUUUGGGCUGGCGGAGGCCGGAGCCGGCUCCCUCUGCUUAUUGGGAGGUGUGGAGGGAGCGGCGCGGGCGGGAACCGGGGCUGUGCGCGCGGCGCUCGCAGGCCAGCGCGAGCUCCCGGUGGGCGCGGGCUCAGCGGGCCCCGCAUUCGGAUCGGCCGGCCAGCCCCGCCGGCCCCGGUCAGUGAGGGGCUUAGCACCCAGGCCAGCAGCUGCAGAGGGUGCGCCGGGUCCCCCAGCACUGCCAGCCCGCCCGCGCCGCGCUUGAAUUCUCGCCAGGCCUCAGCCGCCUCCCCGCGGGGCAGGGCUCGGGACCGGCAGCCCGCCAUGCGCGAGCGCCCCCGCGUGGUGGGCUCCCGCACAGUACAGCCGGAGCCUCCCUGACGGGCGCCACCCCCUGCUCAGGGGCUCGCGGUCGCAUCGACUGCCGAAGGGCUGAGGAGUGCGGGCCCGCGGGGCGGGACUGGUGGGCAGCUCCUCCAGUGAACCCCGCGACGGAUCCACUAGGCAAAGCCAGCUGGGCUCCUCAGUCAGGUGGAGACUUGGAGAACUCUUAUAUCUAGCUGGAAGAGUGUAUAUGCACCAAUCAGCACUGUGUCUAGCUCAGGGAUUGUAAAUACACCAAUCAGCACUCUGUGUCUAGCUCAAGGUUUGUAAACGCACCAAUCAGCACCCUGUCAAAACAGACCAAUGAGCUCUCUGUAAAACGGACCAAUCAGCUCUCUGUAAAAUGGACCAAUCAGCUCUCUGUAAAAUGGGCCAAUCAGCAGGAUGUGGGUGGGCUCAGAUAAGGGAAUAAAAGCAGGCUGCCCAAGCUAGCAGUGGCAACCUGCUCAAGUCUGCUUCGGUAGUGUGGAAGCUUUGUUUUUUUACUUGUUGCAAUGAAACUUGCUGCUGCUCAGUUUUUGAUUUUGCACUGCCUUUAUGAGCUGUAAUCCUCACCGUGAAGGUCUGCAGCUUCACUCCUGAGGCAAGCAAGACCACGAAGCCAGUGGGAGGGAUAAACAACUCCGGACAGGAAAAAUGAACAAUUCCAGACGCGCCGCCUUAAGAACUGUAACACCCACUGGGAACGUCUGCAGCUUUGCUUCUGAAGCCAGCGAGACCAUGAAGCCACCAGAAGGAAGAAACGCCAAACCCGUCUGAACAUCAGAAGGAGAAAACUCCAGACACACCAUUUUUAAGAACUGUAACACUCACUGCGAGGGUCUGUGGCUUCAUUCUUGGAGUCAGUGAGACCAAGAACCCACCAAUUUCGGACAUGCUGGGAACAUAUCCUGGUAACUGUGUGUCCUUAUUUCUCAGCACAAUGCUUGCUACCUGAGAGGAGUGCAAUUAAAACAGCGACCACAAUAACAACCACUUGAAUGAAUGGAAGAAUGAUUACAUUAAUUUCUGCUGGGAAGUGAGUAAGCAAUAAACCAACCCAAAUUUGGGAGAGAAAACAUUUGUAAAGCAAAAUCUGGCAUAAGAGGACCGUGAAAUUAAAACAAGGAUGGGAUCAUAAAUCUUACUCUAACUGGAUCAAACCAGCAGCCUUCUCACUUUCUAUCAGCCAAAUGCAGAGCGGCAGCCACAGCUGCCUUUUCCCUGAAAUCCAAAUAUAGUAACAGUUUUCUUUGUACUGUAUCACUGCACUCACAGCAGCAGAUUGUUAAUAAUUGGGUAUAUCAGCUUCUGAAGCAGCAAGCGAGGUUGAUCAGAUUAAAACACGAACAAGACUGAAAACAAGAGAGCAGUGGAAUUAAAAAUAUUUAUUAGAAUAAUUCUGGCUAGCCAGGGACUCAAAGCUCUGGCGAUUAGAUGAGAGUAGUUUAUGCUAAAGGGGAAGUACUGGAUAAGAAAACUGAACAAAACCUAAUCUUCCUUCGGGAUAACAGAGAUCUUACCAGGCUGCUGAAACUUUCUAGUCACAUGGCCUUAGAUCUAAGUCACGUUAUGUUCUUCAUCUUUAAAUUGGGAAUAACAGUAUCUUCUUCUAAUUGCUUGGGAUGUUUUGAGGCUCAAAUGAGGGCAAGACAAGAGUGUUCGAUAAAGUCCAAGGUCUGCCAAAGUAUAAGAUCACGUGGUUUCUUCUGCUUAAAGACCUCUCACCAACCAAUUUCCAGUGAAGUGAGAUUAAAGCAGUGGUUCUUUCUGGGUGUGCUACUGCCUUGUGGAGUGUGUUUUAGAAACCUGUAUAUCAUUUUUAGUUGGGGAUGAUAGAAGGAGCUACUGAAAUUAAAUGCGCAGGAGCCAGUGUUGCUAGUUGCACUACAAUGGGCAGAACAAUAACAUGCAAUGAAGAAUUUUCCAACCUAUGGCAAGAAAUAAUUAAAAAUUGUCCACUAUGGCAAGACUUUAUAAUGUCUUGAAGUAGGUAAAAAGACCUUUACGAUUACUGGAAGCUAAAAAAGGGCCUCUGCAAAUAUUUAUCCGCUGCACAAGGAAUGUCUGACUGUGGGGCCAAGUAAUGCCAAAGCCCAGCCAAGCCAUGUGCCCUGAAUCAGGCUGUACCUAGUAGGAAAGAGUGUUUUUAAUCAUUCACUGAAAAAUGCAUGUGGAAUAUAUCUCCACUGUACAAUUAAUAUUUUUUGCAUUGUUUUAACAUACUUGAAAUUUUCAGAAAAGUGAAUAACAUGUAAAUCUCGGGAAUAUUAUACUUUGGUUUUUGGAAAAUUUAACAAGAUUUUUUUUCACCUUUUCAAAACAAUCACGUGUCCCAAGGGCAGUGCUGACCACAGUAAUUGAGAUCUCAAAACCUCUGUCUGUUUUUUUAUCGAUCAUUAUUCAUUAUUUGUAUACAUACUUAAGUGAACAUAAUUUCUGAUACUGGGUAGUUACCCAAUACAUUUUACCUUCUUAUGUUUUCCUUUACAAACCUGAAUGCUUAUUCAAAAUAAUGAAAAGACAAAUGCUUUUUCACCUGAUCGUUAUCAGUUGGAAAUAAUUCUUCAUUCUGAUCAAAAGGGGGAAUAUAUUUCAGAUAGUACUGGGGUUGCAAGUAGAUUAGAGGAAAACUAAUAUGAUAACAAAUGCUAUGUCAGAGCCUUGGCAAAAAACAUAGCAUAUGCCCAGAGCUAAACAUUUUGUAUUUGUUAUUGCUAGGGUGAUUAUUUUUUCACUAGAAUGUUGCCAAUCUACAGCAAGUGACUUGGCUUCUGUAUUUUGUGAAAAAAUAUAUUUAUUCUAAGAGAUCUCUCUAGACAAUUCAUGUGGCAUCCUUAAAGUAAACUACAGAUUCUGUUUUAUGUCAUUAAAUCUUUUUAGGACAGUUUGAGACAUCGGGAGGAGAAAAUUCACACUAAUGUCUAUAAAAUAUGUCUUCAAUGCUUCUACCACCAACUAUACAGGAAAAAUAUAUUGUGGAUCAAUAAAGAGCUAAACAGAAUGACAAAGGGACUAUAAAACAAGUUUACAUUGUAUAGACUUUGUGCUUUUAAUCCCUUUGGGUAGACCACUCACCUCUGCCAGGAGGCUCUGACAGCCUAGUGGGGGAGUUGUGUAUUUACCUGCAACGUGACGAUGUGUUACUGUGAGGUACAUACUAUAAAAUUAGUAUGUACAGAAAAAUUAGUGUCUAAACUUAUUUGAGAAGUCAUAGAGGAAGUGAAAUUUCAACUGGGUUUCAAAGGUGGCAUAGGAGUUUUCUCGAGAGUGAAAAGUAAAGACUUCCUCAGCAAAGUGAAGGGUGCAUGAAAAUACCUAGAAUCAUGGCAAAGGGAAACAGAUUAAAAAUUCUAGAUGAUAGUUUACUUUGAUAAUAAUAGCAAUCAUAUACCUAUCACUGCCAACACACAUCAAGUAAUUAAUUACUGGGUUCUUUACAUGCUAUGUAGUGGAGAUUGAAGACAAAAGCCACACCUCUCAGAAAGAAAGGAUGAAAGAGACAUAGACUCUAUUGAAGAAACUCUAAAGCAAAGGGUUAGGAAGAUGAAACAUUUAGUUCCCUGAGGCAGUAUCCUCUAGCAGAGAGACAUGCUGAGGCUAGGGUAGUCUGGAUAUACUGUGGGUUAUGCUACAAAAGGGGAUCCCUACACAUCUGCUUAUUAAUCUUUUUAAAGCAUGAGCAUGCAAGCCUUGCGUAUCUGAGAUGCGUUGGGGUGUAGCAAGCAUGUGCUGAUAUGGUACCUAGGGGCCUCUGUAAAGAGAAGGUUUUGGGCCAGGCGCGAUGGUUCACGCUUGUAGUCCCAGCACUUUGGGAGGCGGAGGCGGGCGGAUUAAUAGGUCAGGAGAGGAGGCCAUCCUGGCUAACACGGUGAAACCCCGUCUCUACUAAAAAUACAAAAAAGUAGCCAGGCAUGGUGGCGGGUGCCUGUAGUCCCAGCUACUCGGGAGGCUGAGGCAGGAGAAUGGCAUGAACCCGGGAGGCGGAGCUUGCAGUGAGCCACGAUUGCGCCACUGGGCUCCAGCCUGGGCGACAGAGUGAGACUCCGUCUCAAAAAAAAAAAAAAAGUUUUGGGUGCCCCACCUGCUCGGGAGAAGGAGAGCCACAAGUACCAGCUAGCUUUGUGCCAGGCAUUUUUGAGAGAGCCGCUGACACUGAACAUUCAAUAUGUCAUUUAAUGACUAUCAUAACCUAUUUAUAAUUAGGAAAGUUGACUCAAGUUCCAGCUCUGAUAUUUGUCAUCUUGAACAAUUUAUUAAAUUUCAGUUUCAUUUUUUUCUUGUCUAUGAAAUAGGAGUAUUACUAAAUACAUCAUAGCAUUAAUUUGACUUACAGUAGAUUAACCAGUAUUGAGGUAAGUAUCAAUUUAAUAGAAAAUAAGGUGUUCUCUGUUACUCGUGUCUCCUUUGUAGGCUCCCCCCCACCCUGGGAUGUAGUAUACCUGUUCAUUUGUUUUUUAACAGUGAGGAGUGUCAGAGAAGUUUCACGAUGAAAUAUGGGAAAAAGAAUUUAAUCAUAAUAUAGAAAUUCUGAAAGGAGAAGGAAGAAGAUAUUUUUCUGUUUCAUUUUGUUUUGAAAGAGAAAGCAAGGAAAGAAUUUUAAAAGAUGCAAUGACACGGAACUGUGGAUAUUUUCCUAACCCCCAAGAUGUGCAAAGCAAACUGAUACGUGAAGAACAUUAGAGGACUUUGAAUUACUAAAGUGGCAGCGCGAGUGAGAUAAUCAAGCUGUGGUUUUAGGGGACAAUAAUGCUCAACAGAAAACUGGGCAGAUGCUGAAGAGUGCGAUGUAUGGGCAUCCUAAAGCUGGUGGUGGAAAAUAGAGCAACAGUCUUAGAGACUGAGAUUAAAGACCCAUGCCUGUGCAAUGGUGAUAAGCAAUGUGUCUGCAUAUUUUCAAGGAUUUGGAUUCUUUAGGGUUUUCAUUGCAAAUUGGAGACUUAAUGUUUCUUAGAAUUUUUUGGUUUUGUUUUUUAGGUUAGUUAAACCUCUUUCUCUAAACUUAGGUAGGGUGGUUCCAAGCAGUCAUUUGAGCUGGAAAGUAUUUUUCUUCUCAUGGUGAGAAGAGGUUCAUGACAUAUGAGGCAAAACAGUUUCAAAUGUUACCAAGGUUUCCUAUUGGAGUUUAAUUACUCAUUUAAGUGAAAUCCAUAUGACAUUCCACCACAAAGUGGGAAAAAAGAGAGUCUCUAGAAAUCCUGUUAAACUCUUCUGGCUAGGCUCAAGCUAUCAUUAGAUAAAAUGGGCCAAAAUUCAUAAAACAAAAACAAGACUUAGCUCCACAUAUUCAUUUUAUUAUACACAAUGAAGUGCAUGAAUUUUAUCUUGCUUUUAAUGAUAUUUAACACAUAGGAAAAUUUAGCAGUAAUAAAAUGUUGAAAAGUGCAGCCUUAGAUGCUGCAUUGUGAGUAUGACUCAGAUUUAAGCUAUUUAUGGCUACAAGGACAAAAAAACCUUUUGAGCCUAAGCCUGUUGAUUUGUCAUUGCUUUUUCUCCCUUGUAGUCAUAAAAUGUAAACUUCAUAAUUGUGUAGUGGUGUUUACUAGGCAUUUCAAAUAUGGUCAUUUUCUUUGCCUUUUGCUGUCUUUACGAGUAUUUUGCCUCUUUACUCAGAUUCUAACCCUUACAGGUACCAUCUAAGCAAAGAAUCUACUGAGAAUAACUACACCCUGCCUAUGUUUUUUUAUUUUGUUACAUUUGUCAGGCACUCGAUGGAUAUUCCUGAGCAAAGUGGCUGUGAUAUUCAUCUAUGUGAAAAUAGAAAUAAGAAAAAAUGUAAAAGUAAAAAUUAUCAAAAGUUAGAAAAAUAAAUACAGCUGGUGCUCCAGAUCCAUAGGUUUGGCAUCCAUGGGUUCAACCAACCAUAGCUCAAAAGUAUUCAGAAAAAAUAACACACCAAUAAAAAAUAAUGCAAAGAAAAAAAUGGAGUGUCACAUACAUAGCAUUUACAUUGUAUUAGGUACUACAAGUAAUCGAGAUAUGACGAAAAUCACAGGGAAUGUGCAUAGGUUAUAUGCAAAUACUACAUCAUUAUAUAUUAGAGACUUGAGCAUCCAUGAAUUCUGGCAUCUGUGGGAGUCCUAGAACCAGUUCCCCACAGAUACCAAAUGAUAACUCUAUAAGCUUAAACAUACGCAUAUAUAAUUUUUUAAUUUUUCUUAUGUAAGAUGUAAAUGAUUAGCUGUGUAUUAUUUUACAAAUAUUUUUAAAGCUUUAAUUUAAAAUCUAAGCAUUUUUUCAUGGUAUUAAUGUUUUAUCCAAAUAAUAUAAUUUUCAUUAAUUUAUUGAGGAAAAUGACCCAUCUCAAAGGAGAACGCUUGCAAAACAAAUACAAUUUAAAAGCCCACAUGGCACCUUAUUCCCACUAUACACACAAGAAAAUCGGUACAUAUCUGGUUUGCAUAUUCCACUCAUAUGCAUAGCUAUGUCUAUAUAACUAUAUAGAGAUAUACACACAUUUUAUAUUUCAAAACAAGAUCAUGCUGCAAUUGUUUAGGUAACGUGAUCUUUUCUUCAAACAAUAUAUUUUGACUAAUAUCCUGUUAUUUAAAUUUUCCUUCUAAAUCUUGGUUUUAAAUGAGAUCUCAGUAAAUCACAUAAAUAUAGUUUAUCACACCAAACACCCAUUGUUAGGCAUUUUUUAUUCCUUUUCACUGUAAUAAAACCUGUAUCCAUAUAAGUGUGUAUGCACGUGUAUAUAAUCUCUGAUUAUUUAGCAAUAUAUUUCUGAAGUAAUUAUUAAAUCAAUACCAUAGUCUUUAUAACUAUAUUUUUAUAAAAGUUGCAAUACCUGAGAGAACAAGUGUCUUUUAACUCAUUUUUCUCUCCAGGGAUGUCAUGGGAAUUCUGCUUCUUGGCAAUUUUCACGGAUUGUAAAAUUAGCUUACCAACUUGCAUAAAAACUUCUGUAUGUUAUUGAAUAUCAUCAGUUUUAGCAAGCAUUCUUGUCUCAUUCCUGAUUUUAGAGGAAAUACUUGAACUUCUCACUCAUCGAACAGAAAGGUAGUAGGGGCAAGGCAAAUUCUUGCUAUCGCUUCAGAAGCUGGGAAGCCCUUUUCUCCUGCCGUUGCAUGUCAGAACUCGAGGUUCUCUGGCUUUUGAACUCUGGAACUUGAAUCAGUACCCCACCCACAACUCACACUGAGAGUUAUACCAUCAGCUUCAUUGGCUCUGAGGCCUUAGGACCUGGACUUAGCCAUGCUACCAGCCUCCCUGUUUCUCCAGUUUGCAGACAGAAUAUGGUGGGACUUCUCAACCUCCAUAAUUGUGAAAGGAACUAAAAUAAUUCUGAGUACUAGCAAGGACUAAGAUGAAGUUCAAUGUUAUGACUGCAAAGUGAAAUGAUCAGAAGUUUCAUGGCCAUGAGUACUGCUGCCUGGCCCGGGCAUGAGAAAUGAGUUUGCUCUAGACUGCAGAUUGUGAAGACGAGCUUUGCAAAAAUCUAACAUCUAGUGCAUUCUGACUAUGGAGAGGAUAUAAUUGAUGUAAGACUCCAAGAGAUUGCUGGUGAAUAGAUCUGUGGUUAGAUUUUAAACGAUGGAUUUAGAAAACAAUUCAAUGAGGUUAAAAUUAAUUUUAGUAAAUGUGAGGGAUAAGAGAAAGGAAGGCUGAGAUAAGCUGUUUUAUAAGAAAUAGUUAUGCUGAACAGAUCCAAGUUUUGCUGAGGUGAAGCAGAAACAAUAUGGCGAUUAGAAAGAACAGCGAGGUCAAGAUGUUACUGCAUUUUCAACCUGGGUAACUACGAGGUCAAUAUGUGAAUAAGUUAACAAUGUAUUGCUGAAGAAAUUAUGAAUAGAAUGGAGAGGAAACUGGGAAAGUAUAGAGUGUGGUUAUUUACUACAUGUUUUAGGUCACCAGUUAAAAUAAAUAAAGUUGACCUAGGUUUAAAAAGAAGGGAAAAUGUUAAACAAGGAUCAUUGUUGAGUAAUUGGAAUUAAGAGUUCACACAAAAAGCAGGCUGUCUCUUAAUCCUAGGGCAUGAAGAGCAGGGGAUAAAAGGAUGGUCUCUGUCAGAUAUUUCCAAGAAAAAGC